rnacentral:tRNA from 1 species
GCCUGUGGCGCAGCGGUAGCGCAGAGGACUCAUAAUCCUUUGGUCGUGGGUUCGAAUCCCUC